rnacentral:rRNA from 1 species
GCCGAACGCUGGCGGCGUGCUUAACACAUGCAAGUCGAGCGGCGCGGCGAACGGGUUAGUAACGCGUGCGUAACUGCCCCCCUCUCUGGGAUAACAGUUGGAAACGGCUGCUAAUACCGGAUAGUGGGGGAUGCCUCGGGUCCUAUCAGCUUGUUGGCGGGGUAGUGGCCUACGAAGGCGACGACGGGUACCCGGCCUGAGAGGGCGACCGGCCACAAUGGGCUGAGGUACGGCCCAAACUCCUACGGUAGGCAGCGGGGGGGAAUAUUGCACAAUGGUGGAAACCCUGAUGCAACAACGCCGCGUGCGGGAAGACGGCCUACGGGUGGUAAACCGCUUUCAGCCAUGACGCGGUAGUGGCAGAAGAAGCACCGGCUAACUACGUGCCAGCCGCCGCGGUAAUUC